CGGUACCCAGUUCGGAUUGUAGGCUGCAACUCGCCUACAUGAAGUCGGAGUUGCUAGUAAUCGCGGAUCAGAAUGCCGCGGUGAAUGCGUUCCCGGGUCUUGUACACACCGCCCGUCACACCAUGGAAGUUGGGGGCGCCCGAAGUUGCCUAAAGAAAUAAGGUACCUAAGGCGAAACCAAUNACUGGGGUGAAGUCGUAACAAGGUAAC
rnacentral:rRNA from 1 species